UGAGGAAUAUUGGUCAAUGGGCGAGAGCCUGAACCAGCCAAGUAGCGUGAAGGAUGACUGCCCUAUGGGUUGUAAACUUCUUUUAUAAAGGAAUAAAGUCGGGUAUGGAUACCCGUUUGCAUGUACUUUAUGAAUAAGGAUCGGCUAACUCCGUGCCAGCAGCCGCGGUAAUACGGAGGAUCCGAGCGUUAUCCGGAUUUAUUGGGUUUAAAGGGAGCGUAGGUGGAUUGUUAAGUCAGUUGUGAAAGUUUGCGGCUCAACCGUAAAAUUGCAGUUGAAACUGGCAGUCUUGAGUACAGUAGAGGUGGGCGGAAUUCGUGGUGUAGCGGUGAAAUGCUUAGAUAUCACGAAGAACUCCGAUUGCGAAGGCAGCCUGCUAAGCUGCAACUGACAUUGAGGCUCGAAAGUGUGGGUAUCAAACAGG
rnacentral:rRNA from 1 species